rnacentral:tRNA from 1 species
GCCUGGGUGGCUCAGUCGGUUAAUCGCCUGACUUCGGCUCAGGUCAUAAUCUCACGGUUCAUGGGUUUGAGUCCCAUGCCAGGCU